rnacentral:rRNA from 1 species
CAGCAGUCGCCACGGGAAUACGGAGGGAGCUAGCGUUGUUCGGAAUUACUGGGCGUAAAGCGCACGUAGGCGGCUUUGUAAGUUAGAGGUGAAAGCCUGGAGCUCAACUCCAGAAUUGCCUUUAAGACUGCAUCGCUUGAAUCCGAGAGAGGUGAGUGGAAUUCCGAGUGUAGAGGUGAAAUUCGUAGAUAUUCGGAAGAACACCAGUGGCGAAGGCGACUGACUGGACAAGUAUUGACGCUGAGGUGCGAAAGCGUGGGGAGCAAACAGGAUUAGAUACCCCCGUAGUCCCUGUCUCUUAUAC